GAUGAACGCUAGCGGGAGGCCUAAUACGUGCAAGUCGAACGGUAACAGUGGGUUUCGGCCCAGCUGACGAGUGGCGCACGGGUGAGUAACGCGUACGCAACCUACCCCUUGCCGGGGCAUAACCAUGGGAAACUGUGGAUAAUUCCGUAUGGCACUGCGGCUCCGCAUGGGGCUGCGGUCAAAGCUUCGGCGGCAGGGGAUGGGCGUGCGUCCGAUUAGCUAGUUGGCGGGGUAACGGCCCACCAAGGCGGCGAUCGGUAGGGGGCGUGAGAGCGUGGACCCCCACACGGGUACUGAGACACGGACCCG
rnacentral:rRNA from 1 species